UACCCCACCCCACGCCACGCACGAUCCCCUCACCGCCGCCCCUCUCCGGAUCGCCGCCACCGCCACCGCCGCUCCGGAUCGCCGCCGCCGUCCCUCCGGAUCGCUGCCCCCACCGCUGUCGUCGCCGCCGUCUCUCCGGAUAACCGGCAGCGCCGCCGCCGCCGUCUGGAUCGCUGCUGAUGUAUCUCCAGAUCGCAGCCACCGCCGCCGUCUGGAUCGCCGCCGCCAUCACACAGAAGACAGUGCAGGAGCUGCCGCCGCCGCCCGCCCCCCAUCUCCUCCCCUGAUCCAACUAAACAUCCCGUAAACUGAAAAAGAGGGUGAUUGGUUAGGAUGCUGCAGCAGCUAAUAAGAUGGGAAGACAACUCACUUUGCCCCUCCUCCAAGCACAUCAGCGACUCUUCGAUCUGCUUCUCUCCCUCGCAAGAUAUGAGAUUCUUAUAUACCAUUGUUGCAUCAUGUUGCACACAUGCAAUUCUAUUGUUUUGUGUAAGAACCAUUGACUUUUGUGGAGAAGUUCGCGUCACGAUGGAAUUCUGCUGUCAAGGUCGCCAUGUCGGCGAGCUCGUUGGCGUCAUACUGCCCCAACAAGAGCGCCAUCGGGUCGGCGGCGCUGCUGGCGGCUGCAACCAUGGAUGAUGGAAAUUGUGAGUCCUGCAAAAUCCGUGCGUGGGUUAGGAUAACAGGUUGAGCCAUCUGUUCCUCUACAGUCAAACGCUUGAUUGGGAUGUUCUAUCCAUGAUGGGAUCAGAUUCAUGAAACUCGACUUGUUGAAGAAGUUUCAGUCCAGCUUCACUCACCGCCUUUCAUUGUCAUCGAGACAACCAACAUUGCUCAGAACGCCGCAUCCCCGGCCUACUCUCUCUUCACCCGUCAAUGCUCAUGUGCUUCGACCCUCCCCGACCCCUCCCAGCAAGCAGUAGAGUCUCUCUUGUUCGAGCUCCACCGGGCCGCGGCGGCGACGUCCAUGUUCGUUGGGCGGAGCACAAUGCUGGGGUUGAAAUCCACCAUGCUGCUACUGAUGAGGCUCUCCUCCUUUGUCCACCGGUUAUCGGACAACUGCCUAUGAGACAUCCACCGUCGUACACUCAUUUGAUCGUGCUGAUGCGCCUGGCUGUGGGAUGGCUUCUGCUGGGAUGCUUCGAGAUUUCACGAAUCCAUUAUGAAGAAAUAGGGUGGCCGCCCGCUUUAUUUCAUGAAUCCAUUAUCGCCUACAGAAUAACGUCCUGGCCCUCCCAGUUUGAGUGAUUCACUUUAUUUUGCUAUAUCUCAACUGUACAUGCAUCGUUUAUGUUCGCCGGCCUGCGCCCCUGUGUCUCCUCAUGUUAAUGUGGUUGCUGGUCGCGGGACUGACAAGGAGGUCAUUGUGGAGCGGUGGUGCUGGCUGUGGCCUACCAGGAUAUCAUAAGUUCUCCCUUGUUCUUUUGUGUUUGAAUCAGAUUUAGUGGUUCUUGAUUUUACAGGCAUGCAUCGAUCUUGCUCAUGUUCUGUAUGUAGGAUACACUUAAUGUUUUAUGGGAUGUUCUGCAGACUUUUAGAACACUAAGGGCAUAUUUUGGCUUGAAUGCCGUUGGGUCGAUGAAGGUCAUGCAACAUGGCAGGUGUGCAUGUGUCCACUUGGAAGCUACUUGUUUCGUGAGUUGUUCGAGACGAAAACCCAGUCUAUAUGAUGGACUGCUCUCCUAUUUUUUUUAUGUGUGCGCCUGCUCCGUGCUCUUUUGUUCCCAGCAGGCUAUUGUGUUGAUCCAUGGGGAUUUCUUUUUACCCCUGCCAUUGGUUUUCUCUGUAAAACGCAGGUUUUGCUUACUCGUGGUUGUAUGUUGGCUUCGUGCUGGUGGGCUAUAGUUCUCCUGUCACAAAUCAUGGAGACAUUCAUCCUCGCAGAUUUCUGCUCCUGCUAUGUGAAAAGGGCAAUCCACAACAUGAAUAUACAUGUAGCAAUGGUGUGCCCUUGGAACGUCCUGCAGUAAGCCCUCUAAAAGAAUCCUUAUGAAGUGUUCCUAGAGUUUGGUGGAUAUGACCGGAGUGAUAUUUUCAUAAGGAAGUCCAAGGCACAAGGGCUAUAAAUGUUAAGGAUUGCCUGACCGCGACAACUAUUGGGUUCCGUCUCACCAUGAAGUGUCGCAAUAAGGCCAUUGAUCCAGUUGUUGGGUAUGCACAUUGUGGAAUGGUUGUAGCAACUCGCUGGACUGCGAAUCAGGCCAUUCCCUUCCUCAGCAGAGCAGUCGGGCAAUUUUUGGACUACAAAAUUAGGUAAGUAAUUGAAUAUAUUUGUAUGGUCUGAAAAGCUUUCCAUUUAAAUGUUUCACGAAACUAGACCUUUUCUUUUGUAAACAAGGACUAGAACCGUGGAAGAAGUUACUGAGUUAGCCUAAUCUAAGAUAGAACAGAUGCACUUUUGGAAAGCUUUUUUGAUUGCUAAAUCCGAUUAUCAGAGCUAAGAAGCAACUUUUCUAAACAUAUAGUUUGACAAGUUGUUACUCUUUGUGCACUGUGUGUGCUGCUUCUUUUGAACGUUCAGAGUUGAAGGUUAUUUCUGCUCUAAUGUUAUACAUUUUUAUUAGCAUGACGCAAGGUUAAUUUAUUUCUUCUUAUCUUGUGUUAUUUAUUUUUCAAAUAUUAUAAACCGCUGAUGCCCGAAUCCUGCUUUAUUCAAUUGAAUGUAAAGUUCUCUCCUUCAAUAUUCUAAUGCUUUACCAAUUUUUCAUAUGUGAGAAACCGAGAAGAAGGGCGCAUGCACAAUUUAUACCAGCAUCACAUGCCAAAUUGGUUUCUCUUUGUGUUAGUUUCCUUCUCAAAUUGGCAAGUUGUAGAGAUCAGAUUCUUUUCCCUUCAAACGAAUAUAAAACACUCUUCUUUACUUUCCGAUUCAUUCAUUUAUUUUUGACACUCUGUUCAUUUAAAAUUUUGAAGUUCAAAUGAAUAAGUAAGAGCUGCAGUUGAUCAUGUUGUCCAAAAAAGGCUUGAUCCAACCAACAGAAUGACUUGAUUAAUUGGGCUUAUAAGCUGGUUGCAUCAACUGAUAGAUGCACUAAUGUAUGUUCAGGGUUGAAAAUGUCGACAACUUUGUAUGGUUGAAGGAUAUUCCAAGAUUUCCCACUCUCGCAAGAAAACAACUUGGCUCACUUAUGAUAAGAUGCUCUGGUGUUAAGUUUCUCCUCUUUUAUGGACCAAGAAGAUGAACUAUUUUGACAACAUCAACUGCAUUUGUACUGACAGAGCAUUUGUUAGCUGACAGAGCAUUUGUUGUGAUUGUGUUGGAAGUGUCGUGUAUGGCAAAGGUAGAUCCCGUUGUAGUGCAGAGCAGAGUUAGCACCAUUCAAGUCCAUUAUUGAAUGUGUGGAUAUUACUAAAUGAUGUAUGUCUCAUUUUCAUAUUAAAGUGUGGCUUCUAUUGCAAAAAAAGCUUGCGGCAAAGCCGAGGAGAUGGAUUGCAAGGGGGGGAGAGAAGAUGUUUUCGUAGAUUAAAUUUUGUAAGAAAAGUAGUGUGUAUAUACUCUCUCUGUGAUUUAACUUUGACCACCAAACUUAAUUGAUGAUAUAUGUGUUAUGUGUCAUAAAAUUAUACCAUUGGAGUUUUUUGUAAUACGAAUUUGAUGAUAAA